GACGAACGCUGGCGGCGUGCUUAACACAUGCAAGUCGAACGGUGAAGCGCCUUCCUUUUUGGUGGGUGUGGAUGAGUGGCGAACGGGUGAGUAACACGUGAGUAACCUGCCCCCUUCUUCUGGAUAACCGCAUGAAAGUGUGGCUAAUACGGGAUAUUCUGGGUCUGUCGCAUGAUGGGUCUGGGAAAGAUAUUGUUUCGGUGGGGGAUGGGCUCGCGGCCUAUCAGCUUGUUGGUGGGGUGAUGGCCUACCAAGGCGGUGACGGGUAGCCGGCCUGAGAGGGUGGACGGUCACACUGGGACUGAGACACGGCCCAGACUCCUACGGGAGGCAGCAGUGGGGAAUAUUGCACAAUGGGCGCAAGCCUGAUGCAGCGACGCCGCGUGAGGGAUGGAGGCCUUCGGGUUGUGAACCUCUUUCGCCAGUGAAGCAGGCCUGCCUCGGUGGUGGGUGGGUGGACGGUAGCUGGAUAAGAAGCGCCGGCUAACUACGU
rnacentral:rRNA from 1 species